rnacentral:rRNA from 1 species
UCGGGAAUUUUGGGCAAUGGGCGAAAGCCUGACCCAGCAACGCCGUGUGAGGGAUGAAGUAUUUCGGUAUGUAAACCUCGAAAGAAUGGGAAGAAUAAAUGACGGUACCAUUUAUAAGCUCCGGCUAACUACGUGCCAGCAGCCGCGGUAAUACGUAGGGAGCAAGCGUUGUUCGGAUUUACUGGGCGUAAAGGGCGCGUAGGCGGCGCGGUAAGUCACUUGUGAAAUCUCUGAGCUUAACUCAGAACGGCCAAGUGAUACUGCUGUGCUAGAGUGCGGAAGAGGCAACCGGAAUUCUUGGUGUAGCGGUGAAAUGCGUAGAUAUCAAGAGGAACACCUGAGGCGAAGGCGGGUUGCUGGGCCGACACUGACGCUGAUGCGCGAAAGCCAGGGGAGCAAACG